ensembl:processed_transcript Gm15850 uncharacterized LOC110321145
GGACUCAUCCCUGGGAAGUUGACCAUUCGGGAACCAGGGCCCUCGAAGUCAUGGUACCUCAGUCUCAGUGGGAUCUUCCUUUCCUAAAUGAGGAACGGGACUCAAAGAGGAACACCCCAAGGUCAUACAGCGAGUCUGUGGCUAGGCAUUGGUCUGCUCAGACUUCCAACAGUAGGUGACCUUCUGACUCACAGCUCCGCUGCUGGGAAAUGCCACCAGAGCUUUCCUCUCUGCGUCUCCUGCCAUCCAGGGUGUGCAGCUAGGAGUCUUUCUGUGAAGCACAGGCUACCAUUAAAACUCACGAUCCUCCUGCCUCAGCCUCCAGAGCA